rnacentral:rRNA from 1 species
CAAUAGCGUAUAUUAAAGUUGUUGCAGUUAAAAAGCUCGUAGUUGGAUUUGUGGCGUACGGUGUGUCCCGGGCACUUGUUGUCUGAGUAACCUGCUGUUGCCAUCCUUGGGUGGAACCUGUGUGGCAUUAGGUUGUCGUGCAGGGGAUGCCCAUCAUUUACUGUGAAAAAAUUAGAGUGUUCAAAGCAGGCUUAUGCCGUUGAAUAUAUUAGCAUGGAAUAAUGAGAUAGGACUUUUUUGCUAUUUUGUUGGUUUGCGCAAGAAGGUAAUGAUUAAUAGGGACAGUUGGGGGUAUUCGUAUUCCAUUGUCAGAGGUGAAAUUCUUGGAUUUUUGGAAGACGAACUACUGCGAAAGCAUUUACCAAGGAUGUUUUCAUUAA